rnacentral:rRNA from 1 species
UACACACCGCCCGUCACACCAUGGGAGUUAACUCAACCUGAAGUCGUGACCCUAACUCGCAAGAGAGGGGAGCGCCCACGGUCGGGUUGAUGACUGGGGUG